UAAUUGAAAGUUUUCUCGCAUAUAACGAUGCUCAAAUGCAAAGAGAGGGAGACAAAGAUCAAUUUGUCGACCGAGGUUCAUCGUCGUACCGCUUGUGUCCGCACGAUGGGGUUCUACUUCGCUAGUGAGGGCUAUAGCUUCUGCUGCAGCUUUGGCAUCUUGCCAUUAGCGCAAAACUUUGAGUGAAUUGAGAAAGAUAGAGGAAACCUUACAGAUCUGCCGCCGCCAUUUUCAGAUCUUCCAUCGCCAUUUUCAAAUCUGCGAAUUUCCACAUUUCAGUCCACCAUCCUCGGCUUUCAGAUGUUUAUCUCUGUCUGGAAUAAAUGCAAUUCGCGAAGGUUGCUCUUGAGAGUAUUGGAAGGGAACAAGCCUAAAAGUGAGAAUGAGCGAGAGUGAGAAGAGUGGAGAGAGAAGGGGUAAGCGCAGGUGUCUACACGGAGCAACGAUGGAACCCCUACCAGAAGGAAGGAGCGGGUCUUUCAAAAGAGGAGGGAGAUUUAAUAGGGAAGAAUGUAAAGAAAAUGCAAGAACUGCAACCAUCCGGGGGGGGGGUGGGUAGCCCCAUGGAAGAUGCUGAAAAAGUUAAAGGCGUAUCAGAAAAGGAGAACACUGGAACAAAGAACUAGGGAACAUGGCGAACCCCAAUCUCGUAUAAGGAGAAAUUGAUGGGGGCAGAGGAAACGCAAUAUACUACAGAUUUUGACGAAGACUAGAAAGAAUGGAUGAAGGAGGAAAAGGAGGAUAUGCUUGUACCUAAUGAGAGGACCAGAAGAAGAUUAUGGAGAGCCUACCAACGAUUAGUAUGUCAGAUGAUAGAUUAAACAGUCUGUACAUACCAUUGAGGAUGCCAUUGUCUUUACCCUUCUAGGAAAAAGUAUGAUUCUCAAGGUGAUGAGAGAUAGGGUGAUUUGGAUGUUGAAGACAUAAUUUUGAACUGAUUGAUUUGCCAAACAACUAUUUUGCUUUCAGGCUUUGGUUUUGGUCAGGAUUCAAGCGGCUUCAAAUAAUUUACAUUCAGACGUGUGGGAAGUCGAGCUGAGAAUACUUGUGUAUUUAUUAAUAGAUCUUUGUCACAAUAGACAUUUCUUUGCACUUUUUUUUUUUUUGUAAAUAGUUUACAUUUAUAUAUGCUUGAAUAAUUUGGAGUUGUAAAUAACUUUUGUAGUAGUGAUUAUAUUGUUACUGGGAAAUAAUGUUGGAUUUUGAAAUUGAUUCAAUGUAUAUGAGAUGCUUUUGAAAUUUUAUUGCUAAUUUGUUGCUAGAACCUAUUUUUGUAGUGUAUAAUGUAGAGGGCUGCUAGAAAUGUAGCCCCUAUAUUUAAAAAAAAAAAAACACAAAUAUAUAGUGGUUAUUUGGAAAUGCCAGUUAGAUGGUUCAAUCUUUAGACUAUAUAGCGAUUAUUUCAAAAUAAUUGCUAUAUAUACUCCCAAUUAAAUAAUUGUUACAUAUACCCCCAAUAUAUAGUAGUUAUUUUAAAAUAACCGCUAUAUAUACCCCAAUAAAAUAACCGCUAUAUAUUGCUAAUAUACCCCAAAUAUAUAGUGGUUAAAAACUGCUAUAUAUAAACAAAAAUAACUGUUAUAUAUACAUUUUUUUUGUAGUUGUGGUGGGAUAAAUUCAAGGAAGGUAUGGGUAAGAACAUCUAUAAUGGGAUAAAUACUUCCUUCUGGUUCAAAAAUUGGUCAGAAAUGAGUGUGUCACUCUUGGAACUUAUAACAAGUAGGGAAGGCUUGGUUGACAAAGAUGAAUUCGUAGCUGAUUUUGUGGGUCAAAGAGGAAAAUGGGAUACUUUCAAAUUAGGAUGCUAAUUCCAUCCUAAUAUAAUUGCUCGGUUGACUAGUGCUCAUUCACGGAGAGAGGAGAGGAUAAAUACUUUUGGAAGCUUGCUACUAACGACUUUUUUAUCGUUAAAUCUGCUUACAAUUUUAUAGAUGCAGGUACUCGAAGGAAUGAAGAUAACAUUUGGAAGAUUCUUUGGCGGUGGCCUAUUGCAGAGAAAAUCAAAUCUUUCAUGUGGUUUUUCUCACAUGGACGUACACACUCAAUGGCACUACGCAGCAGCAGGGGUCUUAGAAUAUAGCAAAAUUGUGCUUUUCGGACGCAACACGUUGGAAGAUGACAUGCUCCUAAUCAGAGAGUACCCUAAUGUGAUAGAACGUUGGAGGGCAGUGUUGAAAAGCGAGCACCUGAACUUUUUUCUCAACCUUCGAGGCGCCGAAUGGGUAAAAUGGAAUUUAAUACAUGAUAUUGGCAAAGAUUACACUAGGAAGCUCCCUUGGAAUAUUCUAUUUGGGUAUUUGUUGGGAUAUAUGGAUCUCUAGAUGUAGGAAAGCCUUUGAUUAUGAUACUCACGAAGACAGAACUAAUGCUCGAAACUUUUUCUUUCAUGUUGUUGCUGAUUUUGUUUUAAUUAGAAAGGCUGCUACUUUGUGCUAUGAGCGAAAUAGUAGUCGGGAAAAAGUUUAUCAGAAGUGUAUGUCAAACUUGAAGUGGAUGGUAUAGUGAGUACGAAUGGCACUUUGUGUUGUGGAGGAAUAAUUUUGGAUGUGAAUGGAAAAUGGGAAAGGGGCUUUUGUUGUAAGUUAUUAUCUAUUCUUCUAGCCAUUGCAGAAAUUCUUUCUAUUUAUCAUGGUCUCAACUUGUGUUGGAAUUUUGGGCUCAGGAAUAUUCAGAUCUUUUCAUAUUGCAUUGAAGCCAUCAACAUAACAAGAAGGGGAUGCAAUGACAAUUACCCUUUCAAGCACAUUAUUGCUGAUACUAGGAUGCUGUUAUGUAAAGGCUGAAAUGUUACGUUCUCUCAUCUUUUCAAGGAGGAAAUAUUUAGGCUGAUAGAUUAGCUAAAUUUUCUUACAUGUUUGAUAGUAAUUUUUAUAUCUUUGAUCAUCCUCUAACACUUCUACAAGAUUUGGGGAAUGAUGAGGGAUCCCCCUAUUGUUGAACAUGAUAUAUUGCAAGCUAUUUAAAUUUUAAUUCAUGCU